rnacentral:ncRNA from 2 species
AUGUAUUCAUACAUCAGGUGUGCUUAAUUUGAAUAUAUAAGUUAAGCCAAGAGGGAACCCUGUGAGAAUCAGGGGUGGUCCCGCCGCUGUAUCUGGGGACGAAAGCCGCAAAUAAAACCACUGGGAU